UAUAGAUGGAUCCGCGCUGCAUUAGCUAGUUGGUAAGGUAACGGCUUACCAAGGCAACGAUGCAUAGCCGACCUGAGAGGGUGAUCGGCCACACUGGAACUGAGACACGGUCCAGACUCCUACGGGAGGCAGCAGUAGGGAAUCUUCCGCAAUGGGCGAAAGCCUGACGGAGCAACGCCGCGUGAGUGAUGAAGGUCUUCGGAUCGUAAAACUCUGUUAUUAGGGAAGAACAUAUGUGUAAGUAACUGUGCACAUCUUGACGGUACCUAAUCAGAAAGCCACGGCUAACUACGUGCCAGCAGCCGCGGUAAUACGUAGGUGGCAAGCGUUAUCCGGAAUUAUUGGGCGUAAAGCGCGCGUAGGCGGUUUUUUAAGUCUGAUGUGAAAGCCCACGGCUCAACCGUGGAGGGUCAUUGGAAACUGGAAAACUUGAGUGCAGAAGAGGAAAGUGGAAUUCCAUGUGUAGCGGUGAAAUGCGCAGAGAUAUGGAGGAACACCAGUGGCGAAGGCGACUUUCUGGUCUGUAACUGACGCUGAUGUGCGAAAGCGUGGGGAUCAAACAGGAUUAGAUACCCUGGUAGUCCACGCCGUAAACGAUGAGUGCUAAGUGUUAGGGGGUUUCCGCCCCUUAGUGCUGCAGCUAACGCAUUAAG
rnacentral:rRNA from 1 species